rnacentral:rRNA from 1 species
AACGAACGCUGGCGGCAUGCCUAACACAUGCAAGUCGAACGAGACCUUCGGGUCUAGUGGCGCACGGGUGCGUAACGCGUGGGAACCUGCCUUUAGGUUCGGAAUAAACUCAGAGAAAUUUGAGCUAAUACCGGAUAAUGUCUUCGGACCAAAGAUUUAUCGCCUUUAGAUGGGCCCGCGUUGGAUUAGCUAGUUGGUGGGGUAAAGCCUACCAAGGCGACGAUCCAUAGCUGGUCUGAGAGGAUGAUCAGCCACACUGGGACUGAGACACGGCCCAGACUCCUACGGAGGCAGCAGU